UACGUAGGGGGCUAGCGUUGUCCGGAUUUAUUGGGCGUAAAGAGCGUGUAGGCGGCCAGAUAGGUCUGCUGUGAAAACUCGAGGCUCAACCUCGAGCUGUCGGCGGAAACCAUUUGGCUAGAGUCCGGAGGAGGAGAGUGGAAUUCCUGGUGUAGCGGUGAAAUGCGCAGAUAUCAGGAAGAACACCUAUGGCGAAGGCAGCUCGCUGGGACGGUACUGACGCUAAGGCGCGAAAGCGUGGGGAGCAAACAGG
rnacentral:rRNA from 1 species